CUCAGUGAUGCAAGGGAAAUGUCUGAGGCCAGAGGCUUGACUGUGUGGUGCUGUUUAUUUGAUAGAAGUGCAGGGCGUUAGGAGGGAGGAAUUUCAAGUCCACUUGUUACGAGAAGACGUUGAUCUAUUUAUUGGACACUGGAAAUUAAACACUCCUCCCCUCCAACAGGCUGGAGCUGGGGAACAGCUGGAAACAACGUGUACCACAAUUUGUAGAAAGUAUGCAGUAUUCAAGUAUUAAAUACUGAAAUACAAUUGUGUCUUAAAGUAACUAGAGGACGUCAGAGUCACCAGAAAUGUGUGGCUGAGUUACAGAACUUGUCACAAGAAGAAAACAGUUAUUUUAUUGUUGCAUUCUGCUUGUUAAAAGUUCAAAUUAUAUACAUUUCAAUCUUUA